rnacentral:rRNA from 1 species
AUUGAACGCUGGCGGCAGGCCUAACACAUGCAAGUCGAACGGUAACAGAAAGCAGCUUGCUGCUUUGCUGACGAGUGGCGGACGGGUGAGUAAUGUCUGGGAAACUGCCUGAUGGAGGGGGAUAACUACUGGAAACGGUAGCUAAUACCGCAUAACGUCGCAAGACCAAAGAGGGGGACCUUCGGGCCUCUUGCCAUCGGAUGUGCCCAGAUGGGAUUAGCUAGUAGGUGGGGUAAAGGCUCACCUAGGCGACGAUCCCUAGCUGGUCUGAGAGGAUGACCAGCCACACUGGAACUGAGACACGGACCAGACUCCUACGGGAGGCAGCAGUGGGGAAUAUUGCACAAUGGGCGCAAGCCUGAUGCAGCCAUGCCGCGUGUAUGAAGAAGGCCUUCGGGUUGUAAAGUACUUUCAGCGGGGAGGAAGGGAGUAAAGUUAAUACCUUUGCUCAUUGACGUUACCCGCAGAAGAAGCACCGGCUAACUCCGUG